rnacentral:piRNA from 1 species
UGAAUGGAUGGAAAACGGAAAGGA